rnacentral:rRNA from 1 species
UUUAAGGUCUAACCUGCCCAAUGAGGAUUUAAAUGGCCGCAGUAUUUUGACUGUGCAAAGGUAGCAUAAUUAUUAGUUUUUUAAUUGAAAGCUUGUAUGAAGGGUUGGACGAGAUGAAAUCUGUCUUUAUUUAAAUUAAAAUAUAAUUUAACUUUUAAGUAAAAAGGCUUAAAUGUUUAUAAAAGACGAGAAGACCCUAUAGAUCUUUAUUUAAUUAAAAUUUUAAUAAUUUAGGAUUAUUUUAAUUUAAAGUUUUAAUUAAAUUUUAUUGGGGUAAUAUAAAGAUUAAAUAAAUUCUUUUUAUUUAUAACAUUGAUUUAUGAAUAUAUGAUCCAUUAAUAUUGAUUAUAAGAUUAAGUUACCUUAGGGAUAACAGCGUAAUUUUUUUGGAGAGCUCAUAUCGAUAAAAAAGUUUGCGACCUCGAUGUUGGAUUAAAAAUUAGCUUGGGUGUAGAAGCUCAAGAUUUUGGUCUGUUCGACCAUUAAAUUUUUACAUGAUCUGAGUUCAGACCGGCGCGAGCCAGGUCGGUUUCUAUCUUUAUUAAGAUAAAAUGUUUUAGUACGAAAGGACCAAAUAUUUAAUAUAAUUAUAUUUAUUUUUU